AGCGAACGCUGGCGGCAGGCCUAACACAUGCAAGUCGAACGAAGUCUUCGGACUUAGUGGCGGACGGGUGAGUAACACGUGGGAACGUGCCUUUAGGUUCGGAAUAACUCAGGGAAACUUGUGCUAAUACCGACUGUGCCCUUCGGGGGAAAGAUUUAUCGCCUUUAGAGCGGCCCGCGUCUGAUUAGCUAGUUGGUGAGGUAAAGGCUCACCAAGGCUACGAUCAGUAGCUGGUCUGAGAGGAUGACCAGCCACAUUGGGACUGAGACACGGCCCAAAGUCCUAGGGGAGGCAGCAGUGGGGAAUCUUGCGCAGUGGGCGAAAGGCUGACGCAGCCAUGCCGCGUGGAUGAUGAAGGUCUUAGGAUUGUAAAAUCCUUUCACCGGUGAAGAUAAUGACUGUAGCCGGAGAAGAAGCCCCGGCUAACUUCGUGCCAGCCGCCGCGGUAACAC
rnacentral:rRNA from 1 species